rnacentral:lncRNA from 10 species
GGAGAGAUCAACCUGUGGGCUCCCUUCCAGAGCCCGGUGACCCCAAGGACCCUGGAUUUUGAAGGCUGAUCAAGGGCAGUGCAUGGGAGAGAACAGCGGAAAGAGAUGCCUUCAGCUUCACAGGUGUUUGCUGGGGUGAUAGUGGCUUCGAAAAUCAAGACCCCUUGGAGACUGGAAAAAAACCUACAUGCAAACAAUUGCUCUGGGAGUUGUAGCAGUAAAGUCGCUUCUGCCUUUUAUUGCAUAAUUAAAAUACCUCCAUGGAAUAACCUUUUUUUUCUUUUUUUUUUUUUUUAGGUGGAGUCUCGCUCUGUCACCCAGGCUGGAGUGCAAUGGCACGGUCUCAGCUCACUGCAACCUCUGCCUCCCAGAUUCAAGCAAUUCUGCCUCAACCUCCUGAGUAGCUGGGACUACAGGCACGUGUCACCACGCCCAGCUAUUUUUUUUUUUUUUUUUUUUUUUUUGAGACAGAGUCUCCCUCUGUCGCCCAGGCUGGAGUGCAAUGGCGCAAUCUCAGCUCACUGCAAGCUCCGCCUCCCCGGUUCCCGCCAUUCUCUUGCCUCAGCCUCCCGAGUAGCUGGCACUACAGGCGCCUGCCACCCAUGACCGGGUAAUUUUUUUUGUAUUUUUUAGUAGAGACGGGGUUUCACUGUGUUAGCCAGGAUGGUCUCGAUCUCCUGACCUCAUGAUCCGCCCGCCUCGGCCUCCCAAAGUGCUGGGAUUACAGGCGUGAGCCACCAUGCCCGGCCUUAAUAACUUUUUAAAGGAUGUCAAGUUAAUGGAAUGUAUUCUGCUUUAGAAAAUAAAACUCUUAGGUUUUCAAAACUUAGCAGCCCCAGCAUUACCAAGGGCCUGCCUACCGUUUACAGUAUGUGAAUCCUACUUCCUUUUCAUGGUUGUAAGACUGGGAUUUUCUGGGAGCCGACCUGCAGGAGUCCACAGGCCACCCGUUAGGACUGUGCACGCUCCUCCACAAACAUGCCUGUGGGGGGAUCCUUGGCUCUCUCUGCAGGGGUGCGUUGGGUGUGCACCAGCUGGGAAGGAAGGAUCUGUCGGAACUGCAAUCAAAGCCACGGCAGGCCUCCCAGGGUCUUACUGGUGGUGAAAACAACCAGCUUCCUCGUCCCUCCCUCAAGCAUGGCAACCACCGCCCUGAGACUCAAAGAUACCUGGAGGAGUGUGAUCGGGCUGACCUGUUGCUCUUAUCUGGAAUUCUUUGAGGGUGAUGGGAGAUCACUUCUUUUUUUUUUUUUUUUUUUUUUUUGAGACAGGAUCUUGUUUUGUCAACCAGGCUGGAGUGCAGGUUCAGGUGAUUCUUCCGCCUCAGCCUCCCCAAGUAGGCUGAGUAGCUGAGAAAACAGAUGCGCACCACCAUGCCUGGUUAAUUUUUGGAUGUUUUGCAGCCAUGUGGUUUCACCAUGUUGUCCAGUCUGGUCUUGAACUCCUGAGCUCAAGGGAUCCUCCCACCUCGGCCUCCCAAAGCAUUGAGAUUACAGGUAUGAGCCACUGUACCCGGCUACCCAGGAGAUUACUAUUUUUUGGCAUAAAACCAAACAAAACUAUUCAUUAGUUUAUCCACUCAACAUUGAUUUAUUAUUCCUGACUGCAGCCAACAACAUUGUGAAUACUUUCCCUGCCUCAAGCUCUGUUCUAGGUCCUAGAACAUUCAUGACAAUUUGUUUCUCUGCCCUCUGGCAGGUGAGAAAACUUUGUAAGAAGUUUCAAUAGCAAAAAGUAUGAGAAGAUGUACAAUAGAUCUGGGACUAUUUGUAACAAACCCGGUGGAAGAUGUAGGAGCAGAGGUGGAAGGCCUUAAAGAGGGUCCUGCGCAUGCCGGGCGGGCCUCCAACAGAGAAAACACACAACCUGGCCAGGCACAGUGGCUCACGCCUGUAAUCCCAGCACUUUGGGAGGCCAGUGCGGGUGGAUCACCUGAGGUCAGGAGUUCGAGAUCAGCCUGGCCAAUGUAGUGAAACCCCAGUCUCUACCAAAAAUACAAAAAUUAGCCGGGCUUGGCACAGGCUUGCAAUCCCAGCUGAGGCAGGAGAAUCGCUUGAACCUGGGAGGUGGAGGUUGCAAUGAGCCAAGAUCAUGCUUUUGCACUCCAGCCUGGACGACAGAGUGAGACUCUGUCUCAAAACAAAAUAAAUAAAAUAGACACGCAAUCCAUACCACAGCCACCAGGGUGAUUGUCCAGGUUGUAUUUCUGCUGACAUCGACCCUUCAUGCCUUCCUCUUGUUGACCCUUCCAGCUACACCUAGCUCGGUCCUCUUCGGAGCCACGCCAACACCCAGGUUCCUCUGCAGUGCAUCCCCAUGGGGAUUUACCCGGUGAUUGAUUUUAUUUCUUUAUUUAUUUUUAUUAUUAUUAUUAUUUUUGAGACAGAGUUUCACUCUUGUUUCCCAGGCUGGAGUGCAGUGGCGCAAUCCCAGCUCACUGCAACCUCUGCCUCCCGGGUUCAAGCGAUUAUCCAGUCUCAGCCUCCCGAGUAGCUGGGAUUACAGAUGUGUGCCACCACGCCCAGCUAAUUUUUGCAUUUUAGUAGAGACGGGGUUUCGCCAUGUUGGCCAGGCUGGUCUCGAACUCCUGACCUCAGGUGAUCUGCCCGCCUCGACCUCCCAAAGUGCUGGGAUGACAGGCGUGAGCCACUGAUCCGGCAGUUCUUAAUCAGACAAAACUCAGCCCCAACUCCAGUAGCUGAUGCAGGGGUGGAAUUUCAUUCUGCUUCUUCCUUACUGUUAUUUUAUGCAAGGGGGUGGAGCGUGUGCGUGUUGGGGACGGAAAAGUGGGAAAGGCAAAUGGUCCGCUGGACCACAGUGGUCAUUGUAUGGGUCAGAAAUCAGGUUACUCUUAGAGAAAGAAACUAUUGAGAAUCAACCCAAAGGGAAUUAAAUGAACACCUGUAAAGGAAUGUGGGGACUUACUAAGCACGGGGCUGAGAAGAUGCCAUCAGGCAAGGGUGAUUCCGAUAGUCGGAGGAAGCUACUCCCUGAUAUAGCGAGGACUGAGGCUCACAUGUCACAACCGGUCAUCGUAAAGACCAGCGGUGCUGCUAUACCUCCCACAGUACAUAGAAUAACCCCGUAAAGAAUGACCUGGCUGGGGCCUGAGAGCAUUGCUUUACCUGGAGGUGCAGCCAGUCAGCCAGGGGAACGAAGCAGUAUUUGUGGGCUGAGCAGAGAGGGCCCUGGGCAGAUCCUGGGUGUGUGCACAUGAGGGCCCCGGGCAGGGCAGGGCAGAGGAGGUUGGGACACUGAGUCAGAGGUAUGCUCCUGAAGGCAACCCACAAGGGGGCCAGUUCGUGGAACUGCAGGCCUGAUCCUGAGCAGCAUGGUGCGGAGCUGUCUGGACAGGCCUGCAGAGAAGGGCGCCUACCUUACUGAGGUCAACCACACACAUCCAGUAGCCACAAGGCUGCUGUCGCAAGGCGGUGCCUGGCCUAUCUUGUGAUGAUGUUUGUUUUUACACAUAAUGUUAUGCUUUGCUUAUGGACAAGCAAUGGAGGCUGGCGAGGCUGCCCUGGGCCUGUUACACACCCAGAGGGCCCUGUGCCCACCUCAGGCCUCAUUCUCUCCUGAGGAGAGAGCCCAGUGUCCGGAAGACAUCCCUCCCCUCCUGUUUGUUCUCUCCUGCCCUCUCUCUGCUUCUGCUUUUAAGAAACACCUGUUGGCCAGGCGCGGCGGCUCAUGUCUGUAAUCCCAGUACUUUGGGAGGCUGAGGCGGGCAGAUCAGGAGGUCAGGAGUUCAAGACAAGCCUGGCCAACAUGGUGAAACCCCUGUCUCUACGAAAAAUACAAAAAUUAGCUGGGCAUGGUGGCGCGUGCCUGUAGUCCCAGCUCCUCGGGAGGAUGAGGUGGGAGAAUCGCUUGAACCUGGGAGGCUGAGGUUGCAGUGAGCCGAGAUGACACCACUGGACUCCAGCCUGGGCUAUAGAACAAGACUCCCUUUAAAAAGAAAAAAAAAUUCAUGAUCUGGAAGCCCGAGUGUAGCUAACUGGUGGACAGAUGAAAGUGAAAUGUGUGAUGUUUCCUAAGACCCCCUAAGACUUCCCUGAGCCACGGGAGGCUCUCACGAGUGUGCCCCCACAUGCCAGACCAUCGUUGGUGGACCUCGUC